rnacentral:rRNA from 1 species
UACGUAGGGGGCAAGCGUUGUCCGGAAUCAUUGGGCGUAAAGCGCGUGUAGGCGGCCCGAUAAGUCCGCCGUGAAAGCCCAGGGCUCAACCCUGGGAUGCCGGUGGAAACUGUCGGGCUAGAGUCCGGAAGAGGCGAGUGGAAUUCCUGGUGUAGCGGUGAAAUGCGCAGAUAUCAGGAGGAACACCAAUGGCGAAGGCAGCUCGCUGGGACGGUACUGACGCUGAGACGCGAAAGCGUGGGGAGCAAACAGG